rnacentral:rRNA from 1 species
UGCAAGUCGAGCGGAGAGAUGGGAGCUUGCUCCCUGAUGUUAGCGGCGGACGGGUGAGUAACACGUGGGUAACCUGCCUGUAAGACUGGGAUAACUCCGGGAAACCGGGGCUAAUACCGGAUGCUUGUUUGAACCGCAUGGUUCAAACAUAAAAGGUGGCUUCGGCUACCACUUACAGAUGGACCCGCGGCGCAUUAGCUAGUUGGUGAGGUAAUGGCUCACCAAGGCAACGAUGCGUAGCCGACCUGAGAGGGUGAUCGGCCACACUGGGACUGAGACACGGCCCAGACUCCUACGGGAGGCAGCAGUAGGGAAUCUUCCGCAAUGGACGAAAGUCUGACGGAGCAACGCCGCGUGAGUGAUGAAGGUUUUCGGAUCGUAAAGCUCUGUUGUUAGGGAAGAACAAGUACCGUUCGAAUAGGGCGGUACCUUGACGGUACCUAACCAGAAAGCCACGGCUAACUACGUGCCAGCAGCCGCGGUAAUACGUAGGUGGCAAGCGUUGUCCGGAAUUAUUGGGCGUAAAGGGCUCGCAGGCGGUUCCUUAAGUCUGAUGUGAAAGCCCCCGGCUCAACCGGGGAGGGUCAUUGGAAACUGGGGAACUUGAGUGCAGAAGAGGAGAGUGGAAUUCCACGUGUAGCGGUGAAAUGCGUAGAGAUGUGGAGGAACACCAGUGGCGAAGGCGACUCUCUGGUCUGUAACUGACGCUGAGGAGCGAAAGCGUGGGGAGCGAACAGGAUUAGAUACCCUG